CUCGCCCUUGCUCGAUUCGUCCGUCGUUUAGAGUAGAAUAAUCGCUUCUGAUUUGUUCGAUUCUGCUCGUCCUCAGUUCCUCUGUUCUGAACCGCGUCCGAUUCAAUUGAUUUUGCUCGUCCUCGAUUCGGCCGUUUAGAUAGAUAGAAAUGCGCGUCCGGUUUGAUUUGCUCCUCCUCACCGUCGUCGUCAGUUCAGAGUCGCGUGUGAUUUGAUUCUUGCUCGUCCUCGCCGUCGCCGUCGCCCUGAUGCUCUCGCGUGUUCUUGGGGAUGUCUCAUCACGGGUCUGCGACUCUGGGAGGAAGCGAGCGGUCCGUCGAUCGGUUUGGGUCACCGUCUGGUUGCGAACUAACAAGUCCGUCCGUUUGAGAAACUUCUGUUCCUGCGUUCCGUGUUCACGGUGGAGCGAUGGUUCCUGCGUUUACUUCUCUUCCUGGUUAUCUGACGAUCCCGUGUUUCGUGUUCGCGUCGGGUCGACAGUGUGCGGUUCUGGUUUCGAAAUUGGAGCAGUGUCAAAUCCGUUCCUGUGUUCCAUCACCUGCGUUGUUCGUCCUCUGUCGAUUCUUGUUCUACCGGCAGGCAUGUGUGCUCCCAUCCUAGAUGCAGCGAGUCUUGUUCUUGUCUGUUACGGUUAUUCUGAUGGUGUUCUUUCCAACUUGUUUCUUGCUAUCAUGCUUUGCUUAUGUUCCAAUAUACGAUGUUGUGUGUUCAACUUGUUUCUUGCUAUCAUGCUUUGCUUAUGUUCCAAUAUAUGAUAAUUUGUGUUCAGGGGUGCAAACCAUGUAGGCCGUGGGUACUGUGAUGUGAGGCUUCUUUCCUGCUGAUAAAUUAGGAUGAUAGGCUGAGCAGAAAAUCCUGACUCUUGUAACAAUCACUUGCUUGGUUUCCACUUCUUUGCGUGGCCGAUUUGGCAUCCAAUGCAUCAUAAUCACGUUUUCCCUGUUUGUUGUUUUCAUAUCCAAUGCAUCCACUCAUCAGAGCACCCUUUUCCCUGUUUGUUUUCCCUUCUUUUCCUAAUCAAUAAUCAUGUUUACCAUGGUGUUCGACAAUACUGCAUUUCUACUGUUCUUUGUUCCCUUUUGAAGUUCACUGAUUCAAAUCUGAUGUGGAAAGUAGGAAUAUUGAUGUCACUUCUGUGUUAGUAUACUAGCCAUGGUGUGUUUUAUUCAAGUUAUUAACCAUAUCUCUUACAAAUUUGCCUUGAGAUGUAUAUGGCACGAUUGAUUGCUGUUUGUGUAUGGUUAUUAAGAUUGAUUGAUUGAUUGAUUGAUUGCUGUUUGUUGAUUGAUUGAUUGAUUGAUUGCUGUUUGCUGUUUGCUGUUUGAUUGAUUGAUUGUUGUUUGUUGAUUGGUAUCUAACUUUGGUAUUGGUAGUUCCCUAUCAUAGAUAACAGACCUUGCACUAUUCUUUUUUCUGAACUUUUUUGUGAUUAUGUCUUAUGUGGAUAUCAUAUUCUCCUUUUGGUAUUACUGUUGUCCAGUCCUUGGAAUAAUGCAUUUCUAAGUAUUUAAGGUACAUGACAUAUCACAUUUGCUCUUUAUUGUGUUGCUAAGGACACUGAUGGGUUGAGUUGGCAUAUAGCGCAGGUAUAUUUACGUUCUGCGAUGCUGAUGCCUGUAGUCCCAAAGCAUUUAUUUACCUAAUAUUUGCAUGGAUGUUUUCAUGAUGGCUAAUUUGAUUCAUUAUCGUUGUUCUGAUGGUGUGCUUCUGGUGGUUUAACUGAACCCGUGGAUCGCUCAUCAACCUGAGGUACAAUAUUUACAUCCAUGGCAGAAGGUUCUUAAGCCUGAACUCAUCAAAGGUCCUUGGACUCAAGAGGAAGAUGACAAAAUUAUUGAUCUUGUAAGCAAGUAUGGACCAACAAAAUGGUCUCAUUGCAAGGACCUGCAGAAGGACCCUCCCACCUCAGCGCAGGUCCUGUAGGUGAGGACAUGUUCCACUGGCAGGCCACUAUCAUGGGACCCUCAUACAGCCCUUUACUGCUGGUCUAUUUUUGGUGAACAUCCAUUUCCCACUGGAUUAUCCCUUCAAGCCCCCGAAGGUCUCUUUCCGCACCAAGGUGUUCCACCCAAACAGCAACAGCAACGGCAGCAUUUGCCUUGACAUUCUCAAGGAAUAGUGGAGCCCGGCUUUGACCAUAUCAAAGGUCCUCCUGUCAAUUUGUUCGUUGCUUACGGACCCCAACCCCAAUGAUCCUCUGGUGCCUGAGAUUGCUCACAUGUACAAGACUGAUUGGGCCAAGUAUGAGUCCACGGCACGCUCCUGGACACAGAAGUACGCCAUGGGUUGAUGUAUAGGCAAGCAAUGUCGAGAGAGUUCUUCUCACCUAUAGCUAAAGUCAAAGACGACAAACUAGGUGACUUAUUGGAGUUGCAGGACUAUAAAUCAUCGGUCAUCUGAAUCUUCAUUUGUAAAUAUGACUGCUAGUGCUGCCGAUGAUGCUAGCCAUCGGCUUGGAACUGAUGAGAGACAACCGAUGUUGCCAACUUGAAACAUAUACUUUUUAGGGAUGAAUGGCUUACCUCUCCUCCUCUCGUGUCUGGUGAGGCAAUUCGUCCUUGGUUCGUGCCUCUCCUCCUCUCGCGUCUGGUGAGGCAAUUCGUCCCUGAUACCCUCUCCUCUCCCCUCUCCCCUUUGACUUUAUGUUGCUCAUCCCCACUCGAUUUGUCCGUUUAGAUUAGAAGAAUCGCGUCUGAUUUGUCAUUUUGCUCGUUCUCGAUUCAUCUGUCUUGAAGUGCGUCUGAUUCGACUGAUUUCGCUAAUCCUAGAUUCGCCCGUUUAGAUAGAAAAUCGCUUGUGAUAUGAUUUUGCUUGUGCUCAUUGUCGCCCUGAUGCUCUCGCGUGUUCUUGGGUCCGUCUCGUCGGGGGUCUCCGUCCCUGCGACUGUGGGAGGAAGUGGGUGAGCGAGCGAGCGAGUGGUCGGUCGGUCUGGUUUGCGAACUAAAGUCUGUUUGAGAAACUUCUGUUCCUGCGUUUCGUGUUCACGGUGGAGCGAUGGUUCCUAUGUUUACUUGUGCGUGCGCUUCUGUUAUCUGACGAUCCUGCGUUUCGUGUUCGUGUCGGGGCGACGGUUGCAGGAACGAUCGGUUCUUGGUUCGAAAAUUGGAGCAGUGUCAAGUCGUUCCCUGUUCACCUGUGUUGUUUGUCGGUUAUUUUCAUAUCUCAAACGCAUGCGCUUGAUACUCUGGUUGCCCUCUGUCGAUUCUUGUUCUACCGGCAGGCGUGUGUGCUCCCAUCCUAGAUGCAGAGAAUCCUGUUCUUGCCUGUUAUGGUUGUUCUGAUGCUGUUCUUUUCAAUUGUUUAUUGUUAUCAUGCUUUGCUUAUGUUCCCAUAUGGCACGAUUGAUUGAUUGUUGUUUGAUUGAUUGGCUUGAGAUGGAUUGUUGUUUGUUGUUUGAUUGAUUGUCUUGAGAUGGAUUGUUGUUUGUUGUUUGAUUGAUUGGCUUGAGGUGGAUUGUUGUUUGUUGUUUGAUUGAUUGCCUUGAGAUGGAUUGUUGUUUGUUGUUUGAUUGAUUGUCUUGAGAUGGAUUGUUGUUUGUUGUUUGAUUGAUUGCCUUGAGAAGGUACAAACCAUGUAGGCCGAUUGAUUGCUGUUUGUUGCCUUGAUACAUAUGUUUAUAUGGCACGAUUGGCUGCUGUUUGUUCAUGGUUAUUACAAUUGAUUGAUUGUUAUUUGUCGAUUGGUAUCUAAUUUUGGUAUUGGUAGUUCCUGAUCAUAGGUAACAAACCUGGCGCUAUUAUUUUUUCUGAACUUUUUUGUGAUUAUUAUUCCUUCACAUUGCACUGAUCCCAGAUCCAUAUCGACAUGCCCACGCUGUCUGACGAGGAUAAAGAUGUUAUGAAAAAAUGGGGUGCUCCAAACAAGAUUGACUUCCUCUCUUUCUUAUACAAGGCAUGCAGAAGAUGUGCGGCAAAAGUCUGCUCUGCACAAGUGCAACAUGGUUGGAAAACCUGCUGCUGUUACUCGUGUUGUGGAUAGUAUGACGGAUAACCUAAGGCCUACUCGUGCAGAUGCAACUGAUGUGGCAAAUGCGGUGCUGGAUGGUAAUGAUGCCAUUCUCCUUUGUGCUGAGACUCUCUGUGGGUUGUAUCCAGUUGAGACUAUUUCAACGAUAGGCAGAAUUUGUGAUGAGGCUGAGAAGGUCUUC